CUCAAGACCACGGAGCCCUUCCCCGGAACUCUGUGAAGAGGGCACUGUUGCUGUCCCCACUCCACGGGGAAAGUCAUUGAGGCGCAGACAAGUCAGAAGCUCCUUGGCUCACAUAGCUGGUGAGCUGCGUGCCCGGAGUCUCCACGCCAGCAAGCCUCGCUCACAGGUGCCAGGGACGCAUGUCGCAUGUCCGUUCCUCUGAGCCCUCAAGCCGUGUGCGCACUGAUGAGAAGGAAGAGGAAUAGGUAACUCUCCUGCAGAUCUGUGACCCAGCUGCAGGCACACGAUGACCCCAUUUCCCAGAAGUGGACACAGAGGCUGACAGAGGUUGGGGGACUCAUCACAGGCACACAGUAUCAAAACAAUCGGGAGCAGAGUUUCAUACUCCUCCUAGCCAGCGCCCCCACCGCUUCAAACAUCCACACAUUGUAGCAAUAUGCACUGCACCUGCUGCUCUGAACAAUUUCAACUGCUGCUCAUUCAGGGAGCCGGAUGGCUAAAGCUCACCAUUUCUGCUAUCCCUCCCUGAGGAUGUCGCUUCUCAGAAACAGGUGGUUCCACUGCCACCUGAUGCCUCUCGCCACUCGCCACGCUCGCGUCUUGUAGAGCAGAGUCCUACAUGGGGCACUCCGGCUUUCUGUUUAAGUGACAGUGCCUCAACGAGAGAGAGAAAGAUGGUGCUGUACUUCUCCUCCUGCUACCUGGAAAUGCAAUGGGUGCACGUCCGUUAUAUCGACGCUUGUACCUGUCCAGGGCCACGUGCCCAGCUGGAACUCUGUGUGGGUAUUUUGGAGGUGACAUUUAAUCCAGACCCGAACCUGAGUGGAAGGUCGUUGAUUGAACCCAGGUUUGAGAUCCACUGACAGUACUUGUGGUGUGUCUGUCCUGGAAGCUUCAGGUUUCCUCUGGGCGUCGUGAGACGUCUUAGCUCUUGGCGUGCAGCUUCGCUGCUUCUGAACUUUGCUGUUUUGGUUCCACUGCUGUGCUCUGUGCAGCCGCCGUGCCCCUGGAAUUGUUUCUCCCAUACGAAUGAACUUUUGUGACGAAUCUGAUGGAGGAGCGUGGGGGAGUCAGGUCCACGUUCUACUUUCAGGCUAUGUAUUCUGCUCUCGUAAUGUGUGCUUGGUGGCCUCACGUCGUGCCUGACACCUUGCGGGUGUCCCGUCGUUGUCACUUGAGCCCCGGCUGACCGCACCGUCACCCACCCCACCCCUGUGCUCCUGGCUCUCCCCAGAGGCCUUCCCUCCUGCAGAGACCCACAUCACUUUCUUUCUUCCUGUGUAUCCUUACGCCUCCGCUCUCCCCAGGGGUCGAGAUCUUUCUCCCUGGGCUUUUCCUCCCUCCACUGUGAAUCCCUUCCUUUUGCUCCCCCACUUUUGUCUCCAUGCCCCUUGCCUCUCCGCUGCCCCAUCUCUCUUUGUCCCUGCUCCCCUCUCCCUGGGGAGUUCCCCGCCCUUCCCCUCAGUGAGUCUCUCUCUCCCUCUCUCCCUCCCUGGUGAGUCCCCCCAUCCCCAGCCUCUCUCUGUUUCUCUUCCCUGCCCCCAUAUUGGCUGCUGGUGCCAACAAAACCCCAAACCCUGGGACCUCCUGAUGAGAGGCCCCAAACUCAAAGGAGAACCACCCACAGUGGCAAGCAAGUAGGGAGCUCGCGGCGGACGUUCAGGAGAGCAAGACCCUGAUGACCCAGAGGGCUGCUGGGCUCCCAGCUGGGGCAUCAAAGCACGAGACCAGGCUUUGCCACUUCCUGUGUGGCCUUGAGUAGGUCAGCGGCCCUCUCUGACCAGCCUAGGCGACAGGUGUGGAGAGGCAAGGCCAGGGCACGAGCAGGGGCAGAGACGUGGGUGGGGGUUGAGGCUCUUGUGCAGGGCCGGCGCCGAGCCGCAGAGGCCGAGCUUGGCUGGGUCCAGCGCGCAGGUGGCGGGACCUGCACCAGCCUGGACAGCCGGCCUUGGAGCCCAGGGCGAGGCAGAGGUGAGGGGUGAGGGCAGGGGCGGGAAGGCUGAGCUGCUCUCUCAGGCAGGCCCUUGAUGCCCCUGGUCUCUCCCCCUCUCAUCUUCCUUGGGCUCCGAGGAGCACCCUGGGCCCCACAGAUGAGGACAAGGGGAGGCGGCAGAAGGACAGACAGGCGGCUCAGCC